UUCAGAGUGGAAACAGAUGGCGUCCAGUAACAACGUGUCCCGUUGUCGUGCUGAGAAAGUGUGUGUGACAUCCACAGUAACGAGCCAUCCGAGCCUCCGUAUGUCCGGAUAAAGCUGUCUGAAUGGACUUUGUGCUGUUCACCGUUUUUCGGAAUGUUUUACCGCUGACUCAUCUCCCGGUAGCCUACAAAGCUGAUUGUGUGAAAAUGUGUAAAGUCCAAAUGCUGAGAGCGUUGGUGAAGCAGCGACUAACUGCGGCUGCUGAAGAGAUAUUUGGGCUGUUUGAAAGAACGAUAGCAGAGUACGAGGAGGAACUUUGUCGUUCAAAAGAGGAGAACGAGCGACAACGGAAACUACUGGACGCUGUUUUCAACCCUCAACUUCGGUUACACAGAGCAGCAUUGUCAAAAUUACUUAUCAGCGCCGAUGGCGGAGCCAGGGCCAGCAGACCCAGCAGCCCUGGACUAGCGGUAUUUGGGCUACUGUGUUAACGGUUUGACUCGAGGACACUGUAUGUAAGUUUUGGAGCCAAGCUUUGAAGGGAACAUUCAAUCAGACUGUUGUCUGGGCUAGAGUUUGCGCGAACUGCGUUUGAUGUGGCCACGUAUCUUACAGAUAGGGGAUGGGGUCUGCGGUCUCAGAGGGUUAGGGGAUUUGUUUUACUUUUUACGUUUGUACCACACCUUGAGUAGAUUUAACAGUUCACACUUUGUUAGAGUGAUUAGGCAAGGUGUCAUUUCUGUGUUUGUUUUUUUUUGUUGUUUCGUUUUGUGACCGCAGAGGGUGGGUGGUGGGAGAUGGUUUUUGUGUUGUUUUUCCUUCUACAACAUUUGACACAAACUGUCAUACAUUGUGGAAUUUAUUCUGUAUAUCUGAUUGAUAUAAAUGGUGCUAAUAAAAAAUGUAUCACAAAAAAACCAAAAGAGCUGGUGUGCUGCACUCGUGAAUGUCUAUUGCGACCCAAAACAACGCAGCAAAUUAAGUCGUCACACUCUUUCAAAUGUUUACUCCGGCAAGGUAAACGGCGUCGUCACGUGAGCUUCACCCGACACGGCAGUGGCUGGCUUACUGCCACUACCUGAGAUGUUGCUGCAGCGCAUUCAGCGCAUUCAGCGCAUGCGCGUAACAAAGAUCCAACGUAUCGAUGACUGAAUUAAUCACCAACAAUUUUUAUAAUCGAUUUUAAUCGAUUUAAUCGAUGAGUUGUUGCAGCCCUAGUCUCCAUAACUGCGGAUGUAGCACUGACAUCUCUGAUUACCCGGCAUUAUGA
rnacentral:lncRNA from 15 species